UACGUAGGGGGCAAGCGUUGUCCGGAAUCAUUGGGCGUAAAGAGCGCGUAGGCGGCCCUGUAAGUCCGCUGUGAAAGUCAAGGGCUCAACCCUUGAAUGCCGGUGGAUACUGCAGGGCUAGAGUCCGGAAGAGGCGAGUGGAAUUCCUGGUGUAGCGGUGAAAUGCGCAGAUAUCAGGAGGAACACCGAUGGCGAAGGCAGCUCGCUGGGACGGUACUGACGCUGAGGC
rnacentral:rRNA from 1 species